CCCUUAGAUGUUCUGGGCCGCACGCGCGCUACACUGAUGCAUUCAACAAGCCUAGCCUUGACCGAGAGGUCCGGGUAAUCUUUGAAACUGCAUCGUGAUGGGGCUAGAUUAUUGCAAUUAUUAAUCUUCAACGAGGAAUGCCUAGUAAGCGUGAUUCAUCAAAUCGCGUUGAUUACGUCCCUGCCCUUUGUACACACCGCCCGUCGCUCCUACCGAUUGAAUGUGUUGGUGAGGAGCUCGGAUUGGCAGCAGUUGGUGGUUCGCCACCGGCUAUUGCUGAGAAGUCCUCCAAACCGCCCCAUUUAGAGGAAGGAGAAGUCGUGACA
rnacentral:rRNA from 1 species